UAUCUGGUUGAUCCUGCCAGUAGUCAUAUGCUUGUCUCAAAGAUUAAGCCAUGCAUGUCUAAGUACAAACCUUAAUACGGUGAAACCGCGAAUGGCUCAUUAAAUCAGCUAUGGUUCCUUAGAUCGUCUCAUCCUACUCGGAUAACUGUGGAAAAUCUAGAGCUAAUACGUGCUUACAAGCCCUGACCUCACGGGAGGGCGCAUUUAUUAGAUCAAAACCAAUCGGGGCUUGCCCGUCUGCUUGGUGACUCUGGAUAACUUUUGUGCUGAUCGCAUGGCCUCUGCGCCUGGCGACGUAU
rnacentral:ncRNA from 1 species